rnacentral:rRNA from 1 species
UGCCCAACAGCUAGCCCACCAAUACAAUACCAACCCCCCCACUAUAUAUACCCCCAAAUACACAAACAUGUAUAUUAAACAAACCAUUUUUCCCCUUUAGUAUGGGAGACAGAAAAAGGACUAG